GAUGAACGCUGGCGGCGUGCCUAAUACAUGCAAGUCGAGCGAACAGACGAGGAGCUUGCUCCUCUGACGUUAGCGGCGGACGGGUGAGUAACACGUGGAUAACCUACCUAUAAGACUUGGAUAACUUCGGGAAACCGGAGCUAAUACCGGAUAACAUGUUGAACCGCAUGGUUCAACAGUGAAAGACGGUCUUGCUGUCACUUAUAGAUGGAUCCGCGCCGCCUUAGCUAGUUGGUAAGGUAACGGCUUACCAAGGCGACGAUGCGUAGCCGACCUGAGAGAAUGAGAGGCAACACGGGAACGGAGACAAGGACAAGACUCAGACGGGAGGAAGAAGUGGGGAAGAUUGGAAAAUGGGCGAAAGACUGAACCAGACAUACCGCGUGGGUGAAGAAGGGCUUCGGGUUGUAAAGCCCUGUUGUUGGGAAAGAAAAGAAGAAGGUUAAAAACCCGCUGUUCUGACGGUACAAAAAGAAUAAGCACCGGCUAACUUCGUG
rnacentral:rRNA from 1 species